rnacentral:rRNA from 1 species
ACGCUCGACACCUACGGGGGGCAGCAGUGGGGAAUAUUGCACAAUGGGGGAAACCCUGAUGCAGCGAUGCCGCGUGAAGGAAGAAGUAUCUCGGUAUGUAAACUUCUAUCAGCAGGGAAGAAAAUGACGGUACCUGACUAAGAAGCCCCGGCUAACUACGUGCCAGCAGUCGCGGUAAUCUGAGCGGGCUGGCAAGGC